rnacentral:lncRNA from 1 species
GAGCCUCUUCACUUUCAUCUACAAUAUCCCAAAGAUCCAAAGAUGCCAACAAAAGCUCCAUUUUGACCUUCCAAUGGUAGAAAUUUUCACCUCUAAACUUCUCAAUGAUUUUUAAGCCUUCACCCUCACUUGAAGCCAUGUCUAAGGCAGAGUUGUAUCAACAAAGGUUGUAAGUGGAAGUCCUAAUGUUCUUAAAAUCAGCAAGAAGGUUUAG